rnacentral:lncRNA from 1 species
CGUUACAACCUGUUAUCUACGAGUAAAUGCGAUAGAUUUCGUAACCAUUUAUACUUGUAUACACUCCACUCAUACAAACCCAAUUACUGGGUUUGAUUACCAAGGAUCACUUCUACCCAGUAAUCUCACAUCUAAUAAAACUUAAAAUGGGGAUGAGAUAGUUCGUCAGAUUUCUGUAAAUUCGCUAUUCCACAAUAAUUUUGUGAGAUCUAAAAGUUCCCUCAUCGCCUUCUUGAUCUUCGACUACACCAUUGUUCAGACUGAUCUUCACGAACACCUUGUCGAUAUAUAUUUGAUCGACCACUUUCCUUCACUCUCCAUGCUGUGUUGAUUAACAGGGGCUUCAUUUAAUCGAAGAUGAAUGGAGGGACGUGGUGGGCUGGUGG